UACACAGAGAAACCCUGUCUCGAAAAACAAACAAACAAAAAACAAAGGCAUCUGUUAAAUGUCUAUAAUAUUAAUUUAAUAGAGGGGGUUCCAAUAGAACUGUAUUGAAUUAUCUAUUUAAUUAACCUCGUAGGCCUCUAAUGGAGGUCUUAAAUAGACGUGAUUAACAAGAGUGAUAGACAAAUUUAAAUUAGAGUCAAUGACAUUCUUCGUAAUUUCUCAUGAGCUGUGAAGGACAAGCAUUGCUAAGUAGGCAAACACAGAGAUAACUGCAAAAGAAAAAUUGUUGGAGCAGCAGGAACUCCAGGAUGGAAAGGCCUGAGGGUUCACCAUUUUGUGUCCCAAGAGAUUUUGACAAAGAAAGAUGUUUCCCAGCCACCAAGAUGGUACUCAUAAGCAAAGGCCUCAGCCUUCAUAUGCAUUUACAGAAAGUAUUUUCUCUCUUUGUGUUCUAUCCAGCUGAGCUCCCAGGAAGGGAGAAGUGUAGAAAGGAAGGAGAUAGGGAAAAUUAAAGAGAUGGAGGAAGAGAAAGAAGUAUAAAAGAGAGGGGAGGGUCAUGACAUUGGACCAUAGACCAGGCACAGUGGGACUGAAUAGUAUAAAGCAGGUUGGUUGGGAUGGUGUGUUGAAUGGGAUGAGAUGUAGAAUACUACAUUGCUUCUGCCUCCACCAACCACUCACCAGCUCACUCAAGUGAUGCAUCUUUGCAACGCCAAAGGCUGUCUUCUUAUUUAUCUCAUCUGACCUCCCUCCAGUCAGCACUUAAUAUGGGCGGAUACAUCUACAGCCAUUGGCUGCCUCAGUCUCCUCCACCAGUAUAUGAUUAUACUGUAUUCCAUGACAACACAGGCCACAUAAACUCAUUCUACAGAUGAAUGCAUCUCUUCCUGACACGAUGUUUGUGGUGGCAGCAUGGAAUUGACAUGGCAAGACUUUCAGCAUUGCAAAUCACAAGAACAAAUGGGGCUCCUUCAAGAUGUCACUGCUUGGAAAUAGGGGUGCAUCCCUGCCCUCAGCAGAGGGAGUGACAAGGGCAAGCCAAGAGCAAGAGCCCCAAAGACCCAGGGUCAGCCCUUCCUUCUUGGGGCCUAGAAGGUUGCCUUCAGACCUAGCCCCACGGAAGGCACAGUACUACAGUCCAAGAGCUGAAAUCAUGGGUGUAUGUGCUAACCAUAAAUGGAGAGAAUUAUAAACUUAAUGUUUGUGCUUUCUCUGGCUCCUGCCUGUCUCCAUUGGAACAAACAGCAAUCCUUUCCUGCCAUGAUGGACAGAGCCCUCUGAAACUGUGAGACAAAACAUCCUUUCCAGCUUAAGAUGCUUCUGUCAAGUAUUUUGUAAUCAUAAGAAAAUGUAUACAUACUUGAAUAAAAAAUAUUAACCAGA